UACAGAGGUCUCAAGCGUUGUUCGGAUUCAUUGGGCGUAAAGGGUGCGUAGGUGGCGGGGUAAGUCAGGUGUGAAAUCUCGAGGCUCAACCUCGAAACUGCACUUGAUACUGCCUUGCUGGAGUACUGGAGAGGAGAUUGGAAUUUACGGUGUAGCAGUGAAAUGCGUAGAUAUCGUAAGGAAGACCAGUGGCGAAGGCGAAUCUCUGGACAGUUACUGACACUGAGGCACGAAGGCCAGGGGAGCAAAUGGG
rnacentral:rRNA from 1 species